GACGAACGCUGGCGGCGUGCUUAACACAUGCAAGUCGAACGAAGAACGAUGGAAGCUUGCUUCUAUCAAUCUUAGUGGCGAACGGGUGAGUAACGCGUAAUCAACCUGCCCUUCAGAGGGGGACAACAGUUGGAAACGACUGCUAAUACCGCAUACGAUCUAAACUCGGCAUCGAGGAUAGAUGAAAGGUGGCCUCUACAUGUAAGCUAUCACUGAAGGAGGGGAUUGCGUCUGAUUAGCUAGUUGGAGGGGUAACGGCCCACCAAGGCGAUGAUCAGUAGCCGGUCUGAGAGGAUGAACGGCCACAUUGGGACUGAGACACGGCCCAGACUCCUACGGGAGGCAGCAGUGGGGAAUCUUCCGCAAUGGACGAAAGUCUGACGGAGCAACGCCGCGUGAGUGAUGACGGCCUUCGGGUUGUAAAGCUCUGUUAAUCGGGACGAAAGGCCUUCUUGCGAAUAGUGAGAAGGAUUGACGGUACCGGAAUAGAAAGCCA
rnacentral:rRNA from 1 species